AGUUUGAUCCUGGCUCAGGAUGAACGCUAGCUACAGGCUUAACACAUGCAAGUCGAGGGGCAGCAUUUUAGUUUGCUUGCAAACUAAAGAUGGCGACCGGCGCACGGGUGAGUAACACGUAUCCAACCUGCCGAUAACUCGGGGAUAGCCUUUCGAAAGAAAGAUUAAUAUCCGAUAGUAUAUUAAAACCGCAUGGUUUUACUAUUAAAGAAUUUCGGUUAUCGAUGGGGAUGCGUUCCAUUAGUUUGUUGGCGGGGUAACGGCCCACCAAGACUACGAUGGAUAGGGGUUCUGAGAGGAAGGUCCCCCACAUUGGAACUGAGACACGGUCCAAACUCCUACGGGAGGCAGCAGUGAGGAAUAUUGGUCAAUGGACGAGAGUCUGAACCAGCCAAGUAGCGUGAAGGAUGACUGCCCUAUGGGUUGUAAACUUCUUUUAUAUGGGAAUAAAGUAUUCCACGUGUGGGAUUUUGUAUGUACCAUAUGAAUAAGGAUCGGCUAACUCCGUGCCAGCAGCCGCGGUAAUACGGAGGAUCCGAGCGUUAUCCGGAUUUAUUGGGUUUAAAGGGAGCGUAGGUGGAUUGUUAAGUCAGUUGUGAAAGUUUGCGGCUCAACCGUAAAAUUGCAGUUGAAACUGGCAGUCUUGAGUACAGUAGAGGUGGGCGGAAUUCGUGGUGUAGCGGUGAAAUGCUUAGAUAUCACGAAGAACUCCGAUUGCGAAGGCAGCUCACUAGACUGCAACUGACACUGAUGCUCGAAAGUGUGGGUAUCAAACAGGAUUAGAUACCCUGGUAGUCCACACAGUAAACGAUGAAUACUCGCUGUUUGCGAUAUACAGUAAGCGGCCAAGCGAAAGCAUUAAGUAUUCCACCUGGGGAGUACGCCGGCAACGGUGAAACUCAAAGGAAUUGACGGGGGCCCGCACAAGCGGAGGAACAUGUGGUUUAAUUCGAUGAUACGCGAGGAACCUUACCCGGGCUUAAAUUGCAUUUGAAUAAUCUGGAAACAGGUUAGCCGCAAGGCAAAUGUGAAGGUGCUGCAUGGUUGUCGUCAGCUCGUGCCGUGAGGUGUCGGCUUAAGUGCCAUAACGAGCGCAACCCUUAUCUUUAGUUACUAACAGGUCAUGCUGAGGACUCUAGAGAGACUGCCGUCGUAAGAUGUGAGGAAGGUGGGGAUGACGUCAAAUCAGCACGGCCCUUACGUCCGGGGCUACACACGUGUUACAAUGGGGGGUACAGAAGGCAGCUACCUGGUGACAGGAUGCUAAUCCCAAAAACCUCUCUCAGUUCGGAUCGAAGUCUGCAACCCGACUUCGUGAAGCUGGAUUCGCUAGUAAUCGCGCAUCAGCCAUGGCGCGGUGAAUACGUUCCCGGGCCUUGUACACACCGCCCGUC
rnacentral:rRNA from 1 species